CCCUGGAGGACCAGUGGUUAGGCCUCGGCACUCUCAUCGCCACAGCUUGGGUUCAAUUCCCGGCCAGUGG